GGGGACGUAGCUCAGUUGGUAGAGCAUCGGACUUUUAAUCCGUGGGUCCUGGGUUCGAGUCCCAGCGUCCCCA
rnacentral:tRNA from 1 species